CCAGUUACUCAGAAGGCUUGUUGCUAGGUAACCAAAGUUAGGGGGGGCGGUGGAACUUGAAACAGCAUGCUACCCAACAGAUUGUUGCUCGGCAACCAAAAGUGAGUGAGUGAGUAAGACGCUUCCACCAGCAUUACUAAGCUGGCUGUGAGAGGUUGUGAGAGGCUAAAACCUUUCCUCUGCCUACAUUUCCCAGAAUGCCGUGCGGUUCUGGAUAGGAGAAGCUCCAACUUUGCCCUGCGGCCCAGCAUCUCCAGGACGACCAGCCGGCCUCGCCUGUACGUCCAGGGUCUCCAGUGGCACCUUUUGGCCCAGCAGCACCAGGGACGCCACGGUCACCAGGGGCUCCCUGAAGGUGGAGCAAUAAGUUUAACACCAAUCAACUUUACUACAGUCAUCAUGCAGAAAAAAUACCAAGUUUUGACAGUCAAAGAGGUAAAAUUCAUUCUGAUUGAGAUUCGUUUAGGUA